rnacentral:lncRNA from 1 species
CCUCCCUCUCCCGUCUCCCUCUCCCUCUCCCGUCUCCCUCUCCCUCUCCCGUCUCCCUCUCCCUCUCCCGUCUCCCUCUCCCUCUCCCGUCUCCCUCUCCCUCUCCCGUCUCCCUCUCCCUCUCCCGUCUCCCUCUCCCUCUCCCCUCUCCCUCUCCCGUCUCCCUCUCCCUCUCCCGUCUCCCUCUCCCUCUCCCGUCUCCCUCUCCCUCUCCCGUCUCCCUCUCCCUCUCAUGCCGAGCCAAAGCUGGACGGUACUGCUGCCAUCUCGGCUCACUGCAACCUCCCUGCCUGAUUCUCCUGCCUCAGCCUGCCGAGUGCCUGCGAUUGCAGGCGCGCGCCGCCACGCCUGACUGGUUUUCGUUUUUUUUUGGUGGAGAUGGGGUUUCGCUGUGUUGGCCGGGCUGGUCUCCAGCUCCUAACCGCGAGUGAUCCGCCAGCCUCGGCCUCCCGAGGUGCCGGGAUUGCAGAUGGAGUCUCGUUCACUCAGUGCUCAAUGGUGCCCAGGCUGGAGUGCAGUGGCGUGAUCUCGGCUCGCUACAACCACCUCCCAGCCGCCUGCCUUGGCCUCCCAAGGAGCCGAGAUUGCAGCCUCUGCCCGGCCGCCACCCCGUCUGGGAAGUGAGGAGCGUCUCUGCUUGGCCACCCAUCGUCUGGGAUAUGAGGAGCCCCUCUGCCUGGCUGCCCAGUGUGGAAAGUGGGGAGCGUCUCUGCCCGGCCGCCAUCCCAUCUAGGAAGCGAGAAGCGCCUCUUCCCCGCCGCCAUCCCAUCUAGGAAGUGAGGAGCGUCUCUGCCCGGCCGCCCAUCGUCUGAGAUGUGGGGAGCACCUCUGCCCCACCGCCCUGUCUGGGAUGUGAGGAGCGCCUCUGCUGGGCCGCGGCCCUGUCUGGGAGGUGAGGAGUGUCUCUGCCCGGCCGCUCCGUCUGAGAAGUGAGGAAACCCUCUGCCUGGCAACCGCCCCGUCUGAGAAGUGAGGAGCCCCUCCGUCUGGCAACCACCCCGUCUGGGAAGUGAGGAGCGUCUCCGCCCGGCAGCCACCCCGUCCGGGAGGGAGGUGGGGGGGGUCAGCCCCCCGCCCGGCCAGCCGCCCCGUCCGGGAGGUGAGGGGCUCCUCUGCCCGGCCGCCCCUACUGGGAAGUGAGGAGCCCCUCUGCCCGGCCAGCCGCCCCGUCCGGGAGGGAGGCGGGGGGGGGGGGGUCGGCCAGCCGCCCCGGCCGGGAGGUGAGGGGCUCCUCUGCCCGGCCGCCCCUACUGGGAAGUGAGGAGCCCCUCUGCCCGGCCAGUCGCCCCGUCCAGGAGGGAGGUGGGGGGGUCAACCCCCCGCCCGGCCAGCCGCCCAGUCCGGGAGGGAGGUGGGGGGUCAGCCCCCCGCCCGGCCAGCCGCCCCGUCCGGGAGGGGGGAGGGGGGGUCAGCCCCCUGCCCGGCCAGCCGCCCCGUCCGGGAGGGAGGUGGGGGGGGUCAGCCCCCCGCCCGGCCAGCCGCCCCGUCCGGGAGGGAGGUGGGGGGAUCAGCCCCCUGCCUGGCCAGCCGCCCCGUCCGGGAGGUGAGGGGCGCCUCUGCCCGGCCGCCCCUACUGGGAAGUGAGGACCCCUCUGCCCGGCCAGCCGCCCCGUCCGGGAGGGAGGUGGGGGGAACAGUCCCCCGCCCGGCCAGCCGCCCUAUCCAGGAGGUGAGGGGCGCCUCUGCCCGGCCGCCCCUACUGGGAAGUGAGGAGCCCCUCUGCCUGGCCAGCCGCCCCGUCCGGGAGGGCGGUGGGGGGGUCAGCCCCCCUCCCGGCCAGCCGCCCCAUCUGGGAGGUGAGGGGCACUUCUGCCGGGCCGCCCCUACUGGGAAGUGAGGAGCCCCUCUGCCCGGCCACGACCCCGUCUGGGAGGUGUGCCCAGCGGCUCAUUGGGGAUGGGCCAUGAUGACAAUGGCGGUUUUGUGGAAUAGAAGGGCGGGAAGGGUGGGGAAAAAAUUGAGAAAUCGGAUGGUUGCGGGGUCUGUGUGGAUAGAAGUAGACAUGGGAGACUUUUCAUUUUGUUCUGUACUAAGAAAAAUUCUUCUGCCUUGGGAUCCUGUUGAUCUGUGACCUUAUCCCCAACCCUGUGCUCUCUGAAACAUGUGCUGUGUCCACUCAGGGUUAGAUGGAUUGAGGGCGGUGCAAGAUGUGCUUUGUUAAACAGAUGCUUGAAGGCAGCAUGCUCGUUAAGAGUCAUCACCACUCCCUAAUCUUAAGUACCCAGGGACACAAACACUGCGGAAGGCCGCAGGGUCCUCUGCCUAGGAAAACCAGAGACCUUUGUUCACUUGUUUAUCUGCUGACCUUCCCUCCACUAUUGUCCUAUGACCCUGCCAAAUCCCCCUCUGCGAGAAACACCCAAGAAUGAUCAAUAAAAAUAAAA